rnacentral:tRNA from 1 species
GGGGCAUUAGCUCAGCCGGUGAGAGCAGGGAUCCAGAAUCCUCCGGUCGCGGAUUCGAAUCCCGCAUGCCCCGCCA